CAGAUUUCCUGUUUCCACAGAGCGUAGUUCAAUUGCCUUCUCUCCCCAGCCCAUGACCUGAUUAGAUUGAAGUUCCUAGCCUGUAUAACAGGAUCCUGCUGCUCUAGGCUGCAAGGAAGACUGUCAUGAACAUCCCUGAACGCAGCAGUUUGAUGAGCACUAGGGCAGCACCUACAGCGCAGUUAGUAUCUACAAAGGUAGGUCCAGACCACACAAAGUGAAAAAGAUAAAAAUGAUACAGUACUCAGACACUUGCUGUUUUGAGUUACAACUGACACCACAUUAACCUUUUCAAACUUUGCUUUUGAACACACCAGAGGCAGGCACACUGUGGUUCUGGGGGCUGGGACAGCGAGGCAGGUGCGUAUAUGUAAACAGCAUGAAAGCAUUCUAUGGCUACGCUGUGGAGUAUAUAGGUCAUGUAGGUCCAGUAACAAAGACCUAAUCCACUUAUAAGUCUCCUUAUUUUUUCCACUAUGUGAAAUCUGCACUCAAGUUGUCGAUGUGCUAUGUCUGUAUCAGCUGUUUUCAUGCCUUUGGCAGAUUUCAACUUCAUAGCAUCCUUGCAGCUCUCAGAAAGAGCUCAAUUAGGCUCUGUUGCAACCUCUAGGUCAUCCAGGAUAGAAAGCCUGGAUCCGUAACUCCAGUUCUCCCAGCAGUAUUACAAUAGGAACAUAAUAAAAUAGAAACACCAAGUUUGGCCACUGAUGUUCUGCCAUUGGCCAGCCAAUACACUGAGAACUUGUCAAAUGACAAUGACAAAUUUCAGGUGAAAUACAACUAACAUAAAAACUCAUUCUUGUAGCAGAAUCGAAAGGUUCUUUCUCAAAUUACAUCUGUGGAAUAACUGGCCAAUAAAAGGCCCCAUUAUACCAUUUGUAGGGUUGUCAGUUAUGAGAAUAUAUCUAUACAUGGAAAUUAAUUUGAGGAUAGCAGGCUGUGAAUUCAAAGGUCAGUACUGAGUCUUGGUAAUCUUCCCAUGUGGGAGCACUUACAAGUGUUUCACAUGAAAUGUAAGCAGAUUAGAUACUAAGAAUAAAGUUGUCUUAUUCUGUAACAAAAGUUCCUAUUCUGUGAGCAACUUAGAAGUACGUAUUUUGAGUCCACUUUCUACCUUAACAAGCUUUAGUUAAAAAUAUCCUAUGCUUCCAAGCUGGCAACAUAUAAGGGUGUUUAUAUUACACACAAUACAAAAUUGUACUGGUUUCCAGCAACCCUAGGCUUUAGACAGCCACUCUAGUCCUUUGGACAGUAGCAGGAAAGACAUAUAUUAACUCGGAUGGAUUUGCCGAUGCUACUUAAUGUACUGGAACAAAGUUACUCAGAGUUACCUGAAGCUCCCCUGCUUCACCCAGAUAACUACGUAUCUUAAAAGACCUACAUUUGCGCAUGAGCUGUGGUUCUUGUUAGACCAUUUACACCAGCGUUACUCCUUGAACAUCAACGAAUAUAUGCCAUAAAGUUAGUAUAGCAAAGUGAGCUCAAAAUUAGUUUCUGAACAUUGCGAAAGCAUUAGCAACACUCCGAACUUGGGGUGAGACUUGGCAUUUCCUGUUUAUGCUGUGUAUUAAGUUGAGUAGAGUUCACAUACAAGGAAGUCACUGCUUCAAGGGGAAAUGGUUGAGGGAGAUAGGAAAGGUGAAAGAAAUUACUGAGCCAUACUGGAUCCAUUAACUUCUAUGAAGUGCCACUGACAUAAGCUAAUGAUCUUGGUCUUGCAGCAGCAGCCUGAAUGAGGCACGUGCACUUGCUACCACAGAACGCGGGUACUACUACAAUAUCACUUCCCUUCUUAACCUUUCUUUUCUUUUUUAAACUGUUUCCCUUAAAAAGUCCCUUUUCUGAUCUCGUGCUAAAUUCAGCUGACUGCCCUAGGUAGUUAUUCCCAAUUGACUGAUCUCUGCAUGAGAGCAGAAUUAGGCCAGCUUUUAGCAAAAUAUCAUAAAAUUGGGGAUUUUCUGAUUAGUGUUACAGAAAUAGGGCAGGAAAGGACCGUAAUGCACCUUCUCUGCCAUCUGUAUAUCUGUGCCACAUCAGCAUCACUUCUCGCAGUUGUUUCUCUGACCUGUAGACCUCUAGUGAUGGAGAUUCCAAAAAUUCCCCAGGCAACUGAUUGCAGAUAAACCAAGAAGUUCAGAAUGAAAAAACAGAACAUGAAUUGAAAGAUCCUGACCCACUUCUGCAUGUCCAAGUUGUUCUUUGAUAUCACACUCCAUUUCACAGGGUAAGAGUGCAUGCUGCUUUACUGAAUUCCUUUUUGGAGAGUCAGAAUGAAUGCACAUAGGUGAAAUUCAGUGCAAAAAAGCUACUGAAUUAUGCUUUUGCAUACAUGUUUGAGAAAAUUGCUUUGGGCAGGAAUGCAGCUGGGCAUGGACAUUCAAAGGAGAAUAUCCAUUGGUGACUUUGCUGACAGUAAAACACACAUCUUAAAAACUAAGAGCACACACUUCGACAGAACCUCUCCUUUGGCCCUUCAGUCAAACCCAGUAUGCUCUAUGAAAUCAUGACUUUUGUUGGUUCCCUGCUUUAUGGAAGGGAGACAUAAAUAUUGAGGACUAGGAAUGGAAAUAACUCACAGAGAUACCAACCGUAUCCUGGGAUGUAGCAAAGCUUGUCCCCACUGAAACCCAGCCUUGAGGUCUCCAGUGACGCUGCUGAUCACUUACUAGGGAUUGAUUAACUACUUAUGUGUAGUUGUGACUGUGCCCAUGCUUUAAAACUUACUGUCUCCAAAGUUAAGCAAUUUGGCUUAGGAAAAAAAGAGUUGGUAACUUCUCUUGUGCAAUUCUGUUGUUCUACUGCUAUUACUUAUGUUACCUGGAUAGAGAUAGGUAUUUUUUUUCUUCCAGUCACAGCUGUGGAGAACUUUUACUAAGUGAGAGAGGCUAGAGAGUCCAAGUCAAGAAGGAAAAAACCUAAGGCUGAAUAAAGUCGCAAAUGGACAAAUUAAAGAAUUGGCCAGGGAAGGCAGAUGUUCUGCUGCUGUAUGUUUUGGUUAAAUUGCACUGGACAAAGGGCAGACACAUACAGCUCCCUAACCACCCCAAGCAAGUAGGAGUGAAUUUAUGUCUAAACCUUGUUAUUUUGGUUUUUCUUCCCUAAACAUGUAUGUUUCUAUGCAUCUCUGUUCAAAGCUUCUCUGCUCCCAGUUUUUGCUCACUCCUUUGUAAUUAUUCCAGUAGAACCAGUAACCCAACCCAGAAAUGCAUCUGCUUCAAGAACUGGUGAGCACUGAGGCAGUAAUUCAGCCACCUUUUGGUAAUGCUGCCUGUUUCUCUACAUAACAUCCUUUUUGCUUCUAAUGCAUACAUGACAAAGGAAAUAAGGACUUUGGUCCUUACUGUUUCCCCAGUCUUGGAAUAUCCACUUUUGUGCCAACCCUCUAAGACUACACACUGUAAAUAAUUCAUUACUCACACAAAAGGGCAAAAGUGCUCUCAAAUCUUAUUAACGUAAUGCUUCUUAACCCCUUUUUAAAUCUUGUCUUAUAGAAAGAAACUACUACAGCUAUAUUUGUAUUUAGACCUACAUAUGUGAAAUAUCUUUCAGAUUAAACAUAGAGAGAGUACUUUGACAAUUUUAAUUUCCCACAGGAUCUUAAUUUCCUCUCUCCAAUUUCUUAUUAACAGAUCGGUCACAGAGGUCUCAACUUAAAGACUAUGAGAGUGAGCUAUAUUUAGAUUCCCUGCCCUAAACCCAUCAAUUAUAAUACAAACUAUUUUUUAUUUUAUUAUUCUCACCAACUCCAGAAGUUUUUUAUCAAAAUAAUUGUUUAAAGAAAUCAAGAAACAAGCAAAGGAUGACUAGAGAGCACCCUGAGGUCAACACAAGAUCCUUCUAUCUCUAAGACACAGAGUGAAAAUUUUGAGAUGCUGGCAUUUCUCCCCACUGUAAAACAGUCUCCUUUGUGAAAUGCCCGUAUAUAUCAAUGUAGAUGCCUUCAUCUUCGUAGCACAACUCUUAACCUGAUCAUCAUCGAUACACAGCCCAAAGAACAGAGGCGUUUACAUAAUGUUUUGGAGUAUCUUACGUGUGUUGGAAGGUACAGGUCAUACACAGAUCCAGAGUCCACAUCAAUAGCAUGAAAGCCUACUAGUGAGCCGUAUAUGACUUUUAAUCUUUGUCCAUUUUCAACGGUCAGGUCAACUGACAGUGGUUUGUGAUGAAGUGAGGUAAAGGACUGGAAAAAGAAAAAUACACUGUGUAGCACAAUAAAGCUGUUGGUUUACAGAUCUACA